GGCCCCCCGGAUGCUAGAGUGACCCUCAUGGUUCACACAAAAAAGGCCGCUUUCACCUUCUUCUUCCUCAUCGACCACAACAAGAAUUUGGUAGUUGGUGACGUAACGGGUCACCAAGGCGACGAUGCCUAACCGACCUGAAAGGGUGAUCGGCCACACUGGGACUGAGACACGGCCCAAAAUCCUACGGGAGGCAACAGUAAGGAAUCUUCCCCAAUGGACGAAAGUCUGACGGAGCAACCCCCCGUGAUUGAUGAAGGUUUUCGGAACGUAAAACUCUGUUGUUAGGGAAAAACAAAUACCGUUUUAAUUUGGGGGUACCUUGACGGUACCUAACCAGAAAGCCACGGCUAACUACGUGCCAGCAGCCGCGGAAAUACGUAGGGGGGAAGCGUUGUCCGGAAUUAUUGGGCGUAAAGCGCCCGCAUGCGGUUUUUUAAGUCUGAUGUGAAAGCCCCCGGUUCAACCGGGGAGGGUCAUUGGAAACUGGGGAACUUGAGUGCAUAAGAAGAGAGUGGAAUUCCACGUGUAGCGGUGAAAUGCGUAGAGAUGUGGAGGAACACCAGUGGGAAGCGACUCUCUGGUCUGUAAU
rnacentral:rRNA from 1 species